AUACGUAGGUGGCAAGUGUUGUCCGGAUUUAUUGGGCGUAAAGCGAGCGCAGGCGGUUUCUUAAGUCUGAUGUGAAAGCCCCCGGCUCAACCGGGGAGGGUCAUUGGAAACUGGGAGACUUGAGUGCAGAAGAGGAGAGUGGAAUUCCAUGUGUAGCGGUGAAAUGCGUAGAUAUAUGGAGGAACACCAGUGGCGAAGGCGACUCUCUGGUCUGUAACUGACGCUGAGGCUCGAAAGCGUGGGGAGCAAACAGGAUUAGAUACCCUGGUAGUCCACGCCGUAAACGAUGAGUGCUAAGUGUUGGAGGGUUUCCGCCCUUCAGUGCUGCAGCUAACGCAUUAAGCACUCCGCCUGGGGAGUACGACCGCAAGGUUGAAACUCAAAGGAAUGGACGGGG
rnacentral:rRNA from 1 species